rnacentral:misc_RNA from 1 species
UCCGGUUUGUCACCGGCAGUCUCCGAUGAGUCCCCAACUAAAUGCUGGCAACACGCCACGGGGGUUGCGCUCGUUGCGGGACUUAACCCAACAUCUCACGACACGAGCUGACGACAGCCAUGCAGCAUCUGUGUUCGCGUCCCCGAAGGGAACCCCGGAUCUCUCCGGCUGGCACGACAUGUCAAGGGAUGGUAAGGUUCUGCGCGUUGCUUCGAAUUAAACCACAUGCUCCAC